rnacentral:rRNA from 1 species
UACGUAGGGUGCGAGCGUUAAUCGGAAUUACUGGGCGUAAAGCGUGCGCAGGCGGUUUUGUAAGGCAGAUGUGAAAUCCCCGGGCUUAACCUGGGAAUGGCAUUUGGGACUGCAAGGCUUGAGUGCGGCAGAGGAGACUGGAAUUCCUGGUGUAGCAGUGAAAUGCGUAGAGAUCGGGAGGAACACCAGUGGCGAAGGCGGCUACCUGGACCAGCACUGACACUGAAGCACGAAAGCGUGGGGAGCAAACAGG